GUGGUUGUAGUUCAGUGGUAGAGCAUUUGCUUAGCAUGUAUGAGGCACUGGGUUCAAUUCUCAGCACCACA
rnacentral:tRNA from 1 species